rnacentral:lncRNA from 1 species
UUCUAAUAUAAUUCUUUUAUUUUAACAAUGAAGUUACAGACCCAUAGUUUUUUUAGUAGAGACAGGGUUUCACCCUGUUGGUCAGGCUGGUCUUAAACUCCUGACCCCAGGUGAUCCACCCACCUCGGCCUCCCAAAGUGCUGACAUUACAGGUGUGAGCCACCGCGCCUGGCCAUCUUUAAUUUAAUGGUUUAUGAGAGGGUUUUUGAUAUCAGUUUUUUUCAAGACAGCGUCUCGCUCUGUCAUCCCAGGUAGAUGGAGUGCAGUGGUGUGAUGUCGGCUCACUGCACCUUCUACCUCCGCGGCUAAAGCGAUCCUUCAACUUCAGCCUCCCAAGUAGAUGAGGCCUCUCAGUCUCCCAAAGUGCUGGUAUUACAAGUGUGUACCACCAUGCUUGGCCAAUUGUUUUCUGGGAGGCCAAGGUGGGUGGAUCGCUUUGAGUCCAGGAGUUUGACACCAGCCUGGGCAACAUGGCAAAACCCCAUCUCUACAAAAAAUACAAAANNNNNNNNNNCUGUAGUCCCAGCUACUUGGGAGGCUAAGGUGGGAGGAUUGCUUGAGCCUGGGAAGUUGAGGCUGCAGUAAGCUGUGAUUGUGCCACUGUACUCUAGCCUGGGCAGCAGAGGGAAACCUUGUUUCAGAAAAAGAAAAAAAAUUAUGGGUACAUAGUAGGUAUAUGUAUUUAUGAGGUACAUGAGAUAUUUUGAUACAGGCAUACAAUGCAUAGUAAUCACAUCAGGGUAAAUGGGAUAUCCAUCACCUCAAGCAUUUAUCCUUUCUUUGUGUUACAAACAUUCCCGUUAUGCUCUUGAAGUUAUUUUGAAAUGUACAAUAAAUUUUUGUUGGCUGUAGUAAUCACGCUAUGCUAUCAAAUACUGGAUCUUACUCAUUUUGUCUAACUUUUUUUGUACCAUCCCCCUUCCCCUCUACCGCCACUGCCCUUCCCAGCCUCUGGUAACCAUCAUUCUACUCUCUGUUUUCAUGAGUUCAAGUGUUUUAAUUUUUAGCUCCCACAAGUUUGACUUUCUGUGCCUGGUUUAUUUCACUUAAUGUAAUGUGUUCCAGUUCUAUCCAUGUUUUUGUAAAUGACAGGGUUUCACUGUUUCUAUGGCUGAGUAGUACUCCAUUUUGUAUAUGUACCACAUUUUGUUUAUGUUUGUCUCUUGAUGGACAUUUAGGUUGCUUCCAAAUCCUCACUAUUGUGAAUAGUACUGCAAUAAACAUGGGAGUGCAGAUACCUUUUUGACAUACUGAUUUCAUUUUCUUUGGAUAAAUACCCAGUAGUGGGAUUGCUGGAUCAUAUGGUAAUUUUAUCUUUAGUGUUUUUUUUUUGAGGAACCUCCAUACUGUUCUCCAUAGUGGCUAUACUAAUUUACAUUCCCACCAAUAGUGUAUAAGGUUUCCCUUUUCUCCACAUCCUCACCAGCAUUCAUUAUUGCCUGUCUUUUGGAUAAAAGCCGUUUCUCUUGGGGUGAGAUGAUAACUCAUUGUAGUUUCAAUUUGGAUUUCUCUGAUGAUCAGUGAUGUUGAACACCUUUUCAUAUGUCUGUCAUUUGUAUGUCUUCUUUUGAGAAGUGUUUAUUCAGAUCUUUUGCCUAUUUUAAAAUUCAAUUUUUAGAUUUUUUAUUGAAUUUUUUGCAUUCGUUAUGUAUUCUGGUUAUUAAUCCUUUGUCAGAUGGAUAGUUUGCAGAUAUAUUCACCUGUUCUGUGGGUUGUCACUUCACUUGGUUGAUUGUUUCCUUUGCUAUGCAGAAGCUUUUUAACUUGAUGUGAUCCCAUUCAUCCAUUUUUGCUUUAGUUGCCUGUGUGUCUGGUGUAUUAUUCAAGAAAUCUAUGCCCAGACCUAUGUCCUGGAGAGUAUUCUCAGUGUUAAUGUUUAGUAGUUUCAUAGUUUGAGGUCUUAGAUUUAAGUCCUUAAUCCAUUUUGAUUUGAUUUUUAUAUAAGGUGAGAGAUAGGGGUCAAGUUUCAUUCUUCUGCAUGUGGAUAUCCAGUUUUCCCAGCACCAUUUGUUGAAGAGACUGUCUUCUCCCCAGUGUAUGUUUUGGCACCUUUGUCAAAAAUGAGUUCACUGUGGUGUGUGGAUGUCUUUCUGGGUUCAUUAUUUUGUUCUAUUGGUCUGCGUGUCUGUUUUUAUGCCAGUACCAUGCUGUUUUGGCUACUGUAGCUCUGUAGUAUAAUUUGAAGUACAGUAAUAUUAUUCCUUCAGUUUUGUUCUUUUUGCUCAGGAUGGCUUUGGCUAUUCUGGGUCUUUUGUGGUUCAAUAAAAAUUUUAG